rnacentral:rRNA from 1 species
GGGGAAUAUUGCGCCAUGGGGGAAACACUGACGCUGCAAUACCGCGUGAGUGACGAAGGUUUUAGGUACACAACGCUCUGCUCUCGGGGAAGAGCAAAAGACGGUACUCAAGUAGAAAGUCGCGGCUAACUACGUGCCAGCAGCCGCGGUAAUACGUAGGGGACAAGCGUUGUCCGGAUUUACUGGGCGUAAAGGGCACGCAGGCGGUUUUUUAAGUCAGAUGUGAAAGGUACCGGCUCAACCGGUGACAUGCAUUUGAAACUGAAAGACUUGAGUAUUGGAGAGGCAAGUGGAAUUCCUAGUGUAGCGGUGAAAUGCGUAGAUAUUAGGAGGAACACCAGUGGCGAAGGCGACUUUCUGGACUACAACUGACGCUGAGGCACGAAAGCGUGGGGAGCAAACA